UGGCUCUGGCCUGCCGCCGCAUGAUGCACGCGCCGCAGGUGCCGCAGCUCUGGCUGCUGCCGCUCGCAGCUGCGGGCACGGCUUGAGCGGGUCCCCCGCAAGCAGCGCCGCCAAGCAUCCUCAUGGCCCCGACACUUGUUGUUGCCAUCACUGUCCUCCCCCUCGUCGGUGGGCAGGAAUGGCGCGGCCGACGGCGAAACCAAUGCGGCAUUCGCGUAGAUCUACAUGAUCUUGUACCGCAGCUCCAUAUGUCGCACGUUCUUUCGAUGUCCCUUUGCCGAUCUGUUCGUGUCCUGCUCUGAUCUUGAGUGUUUGCAUCAGCAGGUGUACCCUCACGGAUCCAACUUGACUGGAUCCGUGGUCACUGGAUCCAUUGCCGCCGCAUCGUCCCCACUGGGAUGGGGAGAGGCGGCCCUCCCCUCCGUAUCCUCAUCCUCCUAAGAGGAGGGAAAUACAUUACCAUGUUUAUUGAUGACAACUAACAAGGUCCAUGAGACGGCUUGUCGACACUGCUGGAUUGGCUUAUCUACCAUGGUGCAUUGCUUUUAAUGCAAGAUCAAAAUUUGAAGAUGGCAACUAAGGGGUUGAUCCAUUACUUUUUUUGUUAGCUUCUAAUGUAUAAUGAAAUGUCACUGCAUAUUGUCUUGUAUCUUGUGAAAUUUGGUGUUGUAAUUCAGAAAAUGGGUUGUAAUUGCUUAUUGUGAUUUCUGGGAUGGAAAUAUUGUUUUAAUAAGUGGGCUUGAAAAACUGGUGGGCUGUUUUUUUU